AGACGCCGCUAUUUUCCCGCCAAAACCCCAGCGCCGCCCGCAGCCCAACCAACUAAUCAGAAGGCGUCACACUAAAAGCCAGGCCGGGAGUGGGAACGUACAACCCUUUUUAAGAAGGACACCUGGUUUCUUGCUUGUGGUUUCUAAUGUUUGGGUGAAGCAAAAACAACAUCAAGAGGGCACAUCUCUGUUCUACAUCCUUGGGACUAUGGAAAAGAAGUGAAAGGCCUUACAAGGUUAACGAGAUUUAACACUGUGGGAUCUAUACAGCCUGGAAUCAAGCUGAGCAGGGAGAGAGGAUCAUCUUUUAAUACUACAGAAUGGCCAUUUAUAAGAGGCCCCAGAUAAUAAAUGUUACUGAAGAAUCA